UGAUUAUUUCAAGUUUAAUUACGAGGAUCUACAGGAACAAUUGCUUUCACAAAACAGAGACCAACAGAGUAGUAUAAGUACAGAGACCAACAGAGUAGUGUCAUAACCAUUGUUCUUAUUAAAUAUUAUGGCUUCUAGCUCUUUAAACUCCUACUUGUCAGCUGGCAGAAUGUUAUCUCUAAUGCUAUGAGAUACAUACAAAACGUCAAGUCAUCAUACUAAAUAGGAAAACAAGAUAGAACCAUAUACUGCCAUGGGAAUGUGUGUUAUCAUUUGCAUAUGUGACAGAAUUCAGGAAACUGGGCUUAAGUCGCAUGUUACUACUUUUCAGGUGAUCCGUUUGUAAGAUAAAAAACGUGUUCUGGGACAUUUUUGUGUCAUUUGUUCUCACUGUUCAUGUACACCACACCACUUUGCAUGAGUUUUAUGUUACGGGUCUCUGUACCAUCCACCCUUGACUGCUAGGGCCACAGGGUUCGUAACAUAACUCAAAACAUUCCUUUUCCAAGAAAUGAAAAAGGUGCAGUGCUCUCUUCAUUCUUUCUGGAGCUGUGUAUCACACCGUUCCCCAACCAGGGGUGCCGGGGGUGAAGUGCGAUGCACAUACUAUUUAAUGCAGGACUGAUGGCCUUUAGCACAUUUGUAAUAUAGGCUAUCUGUUACAUUCUAAAUGUAAUUUUAAUAGUACCAUCCUUAACUGGGAAAUUCUCCACAUUAAUGAAUAACUUCUAUCACUUAAACAGACUGAGUCACUCAAUGCAGUCCAGCAUCCAAUACAGAUUAUAGGCUAUUUAUGUUUCAUAUGACCAGUAUGUGGAAAACAAUGAGUUUUUCUUUUCCCAUGGAAACCCCUGCAAUUAUGCCAACUGACAUGUCAUUCAACACAAUGCUGCUCAUCUCCUUCAGUUGGGAGUAGGGCUGGUUCAGGGGUAUGGGGAUGGACAGACAGGGAGUAGGGCUGGUUCAGGGGUAUGGGGAUGGACAGACAGGGAGUAGGGCUAGUUCAGGGGUAUGGGGAUGGACAGACAGGGAGUAGGGCUGGUUCAGGGGUAUGGGGAUGGACAGACAGGGAGUAGGGCUAGUUCAGGGGUAUGGGGAUGGACAGACAGGGAGUAGGCCUGGUUCAGGGGUAUGGGGAUGGACAGACAGGGAGUAGGCCUGGUUCAGGGGAAUGGGGAUGGACAGACAGGGCUGGUUCAGGGGUAUGGGGAUGGACAGACAGGGAGUAGGCCUUGUUCAGGGGUAUGGGGAUGGACAGACAGGGCUGCUGAGCCUAGAGCUGUAUCUGUUGGGCCUGGCACCAGGCAGGGGCAGGAACAACCGAUUUAGUAUCAAUAGUUUGAUAAAGGUUUACCUACAUUGAUUAAAUGUUGACUAAAAGAGGAAUGAAAUGUAAACACUGAGAAUUUUCUGUGGAGGUAUUAAGUAUCUAAUGUUAAGGGAGCAAAAGUAGCUUAUUUCACUAUGGACUAAGCUUAGACUACGCUAACUUAAUUUCCACCACUCACUGACUACACCCACCUUCUUUAUAUUGUCACCCUUGACUUUCUCCUGUGUUUUCUUUUUGUUUUAGGAAACCAGAGCAGUGGAGACAGUAGUGCAGUGGAGACAGUAGUGCAGUGGGGACAGUAGUGUAGUGAGCACAGUAGAGCAGUGGAUACAGUAGAGCAAUGGGGACAGUAGUGCAGUGGGGACAGUAGAGCAAUGGGGACAGUAGUGCAGUGGGGACAGUAGAGCAGUGGGGACAGUAGAGCAGUGGGGACAGUAGUGCAGUGAGGACAGUAGUGCAGUGGGGACAGUAGUGCAGCGGGGACAGUAGUGCAGCGGGGACAGUAGUGCAGUGGGGACAGUAGUGCAGUGGGGACAGUAGUGUAGCGGGGACAGUAGUGCAGCGGGGACAGUAGUGUAGCGGGGACAGUAGUGCAGCGGGGACAGUAGUGUAGCGGGGACAGUAGUGCAGCGGGGACAGUAGGGCAGUAUAUCAUUUUCACUUACCCUCGCUAACUGUCACUAAGAGAUAAUAAAAAAAUAUGCGAUUGUUCCAGAAUAUUUUUUUUUUGUUAUGCAGAAAAUAUGGGAAGAAAUUCAAAGAAUACCUGUUAAAUUACAAAAACAUGUUGGUGGUGGAUUGUGUAAUCACGAAUUCUAAAAUGGAAUGAUAAAUUCCUUAAAGAUGGUCUUGAAAGAAUUUAAGGAGAAAGAAAGUGUUAGGGCAUCAGCUGAACAAAUGACUGUAUUGGAUAAGUUAAUAAAUUUAAAUAAAAGACUUGAAAAGUUGAAAAAGGAACUAUAGACACUCAUAGCCCAUUGAAAUAGAAACCAGGAUCAUGUAACUAUUGUGGAAUCCCUGGCCAUUGACAGAAUGAGUGUUGCAUGAAGAGGAAGAACCAAAAGACAAAGACAGGAUGGACAGACAGUUGUAACAUGAGACAUUCUGGCCACAUGACGAGCAGUGGCAAGCAAAGAUCUCCCAUGUAUAGAAUCCAGGAAUCAAAGAUGGAGGAUUUCAUUGGUGAUACCUAGAACAGACGUGAGCUUAUAUAAUCAUUGAUUAUAAGUUCUAAAUCUAUUUCCAAAAAUG
ensembl:lncRNA